rnacentral:rRNA from 1 species
CAGCAGCCACGGUAAUACGUAGGGUGCAAGCGUUAAUCGGAAUUACGGGGCGUAAAGCGUGCGCAGGCGGUUAUAUAAGUCAGAUGUGAAAUCCCCGGGCUCAACCUGGGAACUGCAUUUGAGACUGUAUGGCUAGAGUGUGUCAGAGGGGGGUAGAAUUCCACGUGUAGCAGUGAAAUGCGUAGAUAUGUGGAGGAAUACCGAUGGCGAAGGCAGCCCCCUGGGAUAACACUGACGCUCAUGCACGAAGGCGUGGGGAGCAAACAGGAUUAGAUACCCCGGUAGUCCCUGUCUCUUAUAC